UUUUUGUACAAGAGAGUACAGAAUACAUCCUGUCUCCAACUAAUGCAGAGUAUAUUCAAGCUGCCAACACACUGAUGUGAAGAACCCUUUCCAGAGAAAUAUAGAAAGAAAUGACUGUGAAGCUUGUGUUGGAGAGGAUUCAGUGUCUGUUGAGGCACAUGUGAAUGUGUUAUAAAGUGAGUAUCAGAAAACACAUCCAGACAC